AUUGAACGCUGGCGGCAGGCCUAACACAUGCAAGUCGAACGGUAACAGGAAGAAGCUUGCUUCUUUGCUGACGAGUGGCGGACGGGUGAGUAAUGUCUGGGAAACUGCCUGAUGGAGGGGGAUAACUACUGGAAACGGUAGCUAAUACCGCAUAACGUCGCAAGACCAAAGAGGGGGACCUUCGGGCCUCUUGCCAUCGGAUGUGCCCAGAUGGGAUUAGCUAGUAGGUGGGGUAACGGCUCACCUAGGCGACGAUCCCUAGCUGGCCUGAGAGGAUGACCAGCCACACUGGAACUGAGACACGGUCCAGACUCCUACGGGAGGCAUCAGUGGGGAAUAUUGCACAAUGGGCGCAAGCCUGAUGCAGCCAUGCCGCGUGUAUGAAGAAGGCCUUCGGGUUGUAAAGUACUUUCAGCGGGGAGGAAGGGAGUAAAGUUAAUGCCUUUGCUCAUUGACGUUACCCGCAGAAGAAGCACCGGCUAACUCCGUG
rnacentral:rRNA from 1 species